UUGUAUGGCAGCUACAUAUCGCUCAUUUGCUGCAAGACCGGCAUAAAUCAAAAAACGUGAUUUUUGAGUUAAUGAUGCAGAAUUGUUCGUGACAGAGUGAAAAAUUCAUAUGAAUACCUCUUAUAUGCUCCGCUUGAGAAGAGAAUAUGAUUCCUGUUUUCCGUGUAAGGUUGGAGUCAGUUGAAAACUUUUAACGCGUUUUCUGGCAAAUCGAUUUUUUUGACUUAUGCCGGUCUUGCAGCAAAUGA